UACGUAGGGGGCGAGCGUUGUCCGGAUUUAUUGGGCGUAAAGAGCUCGUAGGCGGCUUGUCACGUCGGGUGUGAAAGACCGGGGCUUAACUCCGGUUCUGCAUUCGAUACGGGCUAGCUAGAGUGUGGUAGGGGAGAUCGGAAUUCCUGGUGUAGCGGUGAAAUGCGCAGAUAUCAGGAGGAACACCGGUGGCGAAGGCGGAUCUCUGGGCCAUUACUGACGCUGAGGAGCGAAAGCGUGGGGAGCGAACAGG
rnacentral:rRNA from 1 species